rnacentral:rRNA from 1 species
UACGAAGGGGGCUAGCGUUGCUCGGAAUUACUGGGCGUAAAGCGCACGUAGGCGGCUUUCUAAGUCGGGGGGUGAAAUCCUGGAGCUCAACUCCAGAACUGCCUUCGAUACUGGAAGCUCGAGUCCGGGAGAGGUGAGUGGAACCGCGAGUGUAGAGGUGAAAUUCGUAGAAUAUUCGGCAAGAACACCAGUGGCGAAAGGCGGCUCAGCUGGCCCGGUGACUG